UUAGCUUUUAAUUUAGCAAUUAUACGUGCCAAUAGUUAGUGCUGGCUUCUGAAGGUAUAAAAUUACUACCAAUGUCUUUUCUUCUCUAGGUGUUUGAAUAAAUUCUUCAAUGAAUUACCAUUUCUAUUAAAUUUGUUAUGCAUAUUUCUGUCUUCUCUAUCUUUUAAGCGUCUGUGAUUUAGUUUUAUCUCUGUUGUUCGUAGGAGUAUCAUGGCUUUUGUUCUCAUUUUCGUGGGGCUAAAUUAUAUCAUAGCUACUGCCUGGAAGAUGAUAUAGGUCAUCUUAGAAAAAUCUAAGUUUUUUUUU
rnacentral:lncRNA from 1 species